rnacentral:lncRNA from 1 species
AAGCGCUCACUAAGCCCCACCGCUAGCCAACUCUCUAUGACUAUCAGCUGUUCUCCGAAUCCCUUCCAGACUUCUUCCAGCCAGGUUCAACUCCAAUCUGAACUACUCCGAACUUCACCAACAGCUGAACUUCCCCAAUGGUGGCUUCCUACAACUACCAGAUUUCAGCCCGGACUCCUACGGGAGCCAGAUCUCGUCCCCGACUUCGACUACAC